rnacentral:rRNA from 1 species
GCGUGAUCGAUGAAGGCCUUAGGGUUGUAAAGAUCUUUCAGUGGGGAAGAUAAUGACUGUACCCACAGAAGAAGCCCCGGCUAACUCCGUGCCAGCAGCCGCGGUAAUACGGAGGGGGCUAGCGUUGUUCGGAAUUACUGGGCGUAAAGCGCACGUAGGCGGAACAGAAAGUCAGAGGUGAAAUCCCAGGGCUCAACCUUGGAACUGCCUUUGAAACUCCUGUUCUUGAGGUCGAGAGAGGUGAGUGGAAUUCCGAGUGUAGAGGUGAAAUUCGU